UUGUACUGAUUGAGAUUUUAACACGAAGUGAGUGGCGAACGGGUGAGUAACACGUGGGUAACCUGCCCAGAAGUAGGGGAUAACACCUGGAAACAGAUGCUAAUACCGUAUAACAGAGAAAACCGCAUGGUUUUCUUUUAAAAGAUGGCUCUGCUAUCACUUCUGGAUGGACCCGCGGCGUAUUAGCUAGUUGGUGAGGUAAAGGCUCACCAAGGCAGUGAUACGUAGCCGACCUGAGAGGGUAAUCGGCCACAUUGGGACUGAGACACGGCCCAGACUCCUACGGGAGGCAGCAGUAGGGAAUCUUCCACAAUGGACGCAAGUCUGAUGGAGCAACGCCGCGUGAGUGAAGAAGGGUUUCGGCUCGUAAAGCUCUGUUGUUAAAGAAGAACGUGGGUAAGAGUAACUGUUUACCCAGUGACGGUAUUUAACCAGAAAGCCACGGCUAACUACGUGCCAGCAGCCGCGGUAAUACGUAGGUGGCAAGCGUUAUCCGGAUUUAUUGGGCGUAAAGCGAGC
rnacentral:rRNA from 1 species